CCUACGGGUGGCAGCAGUGAGGAAUAUUGGUCAAUGGACGAGAGUCUGAACCAGCCAAGUAGCGUGAAGGAUGACUGCCCUAUGGGUUGUAAACUUCUUUUAUAUGGAAAUAAAAUGUUCCACGUGUGGGAUUUUGUAUGUACCAUAUGAAUAAGGAUCGGCUAACUCCGUGCCAGCAGCCGCGGUAAUACGGAGGAUCCGAGCGUUAUCCGGAUUUAUUGGGUUUAAAGGGAGCGUAGGUGGAUUGUUAAGUCAGUUGUGAAAGUUUGCGGCUCAACCGUAAAAUUGCAGUUGAAACUGGCAGUCUUGAGUACAGUAGAGAUGGGCGGAAUUCGUGGUGUAGCGGUGAAAUGCUUAGAUAUCACGAAGAACUCCGAUUGCGAAGGCAGUUCACUGGACUGCAACUGACACUGAGGCUCGAAAGUGUGGGUAUCAAACAGGAUUAGAUACCCCUGUAGUC
rnacentral:rRNA from 1 species